UCCGGGUUGAUCCUGCCAGAGGUUACUGCUAUCGGAGUUCGAUUAAGCCAUGCGAGUCUAAAGGUUUCUUCGGAAACCUUGGCGGACUGCUCAGUAACACGUGGAUAACCUACCCUUGGGACUGGGAUAACCCCGGGAAACUGGGGAUAAUACCGGAUAGAUCAGGGAUGCUGGAAUGCGCCUUGAUCCAAAGCUCCGGCGCCCAAGGAUGGGUCUGCGGCCUAUCAGGUUGUAGUGGGUGUAACGUACCUACUAGCCGACGACGGGUACGGGUUGUGAGAGCAAGAGCCCGGAGAUGGAUUCUGAGACACGAAUCCAGGCCCUACGGGGUGCAGCAGGCGCGAAACCUUUACAAUGUGCGAAAGCAUGAUAAGGGAACUCCGAGUGCCAGCAUCUAAUGCUGGCUGUCCUUGUGCCUAAAACGCACAAGAUAGCAAGGGCCGGGUAAGACCGGUGCCAGCCGCCGCGGUAACACCGGCGGCCCGAGUGGUAGCCGCUAUUAUUGGGUCUAAAGGGUCCGUAGCCGGUUCGAUAAGUCCUCUGGGAAAUCUGGUUGCUUAACAAUCAGACUGCCAAGGGAUACUGUCGAACUUGAGACCGGGAGAGGUAAGAGGUACUUCAGGGGUAGGAGUGAAAUCUUGUAAUCCCUGGGGGACCAUCUGUGGCGAAGGCGUCUUACCAGAACGGGUCUGACGGUGAGGGACGAAAGCUGGGGGCGCAAACCGGAUCAGAUACCCGGGUAGUCCCAGCCGUAAACGAUGCUCGCUAUGUGUCAGGUACGGUGUGACCGUAUCUGGUGCCGUAGGGAAGCCGUGUUGCGAGCCACCUGGGAAGUACGGUCGCAAGACUGAAACUUAAAGGAAU
rnacentral:rRNA from 1 species